GUCAGGGUAUUGCCUCAGUACGGCGAGUGAGCGGCAAAAGCUCAAAUUUUAAAGCUGGCACCUUCGGUGUCCGCGUUGUAAUUUUGUGAGGCAUCUCCGGGUAGGGCGCCGGCCUAAGUUCCUUGGAACAGGACGUCAUAGAGGGUGAGAAUCCCGUGCUUGGCUGGCUGUCCCCGUCCAUGUGAGGUGUCUUCGACGAGUCGAGUUGUUUGGGAAUGCAGCUCAAAAUGGGUGGUAAAUUUCAUCUAAAGCUAAAUAUUGGUGGGAGACCGAUAGCGCACAAGUAGAGUGAUCGAAAGAUGAAAAGCACUUUGAAAAUAGAGUUAAAAAGUACGUGAAAUUGUUGAAAGGGAAGCGCUUGAGACCAGACUUCGGUGGGGGGUGAUCAGCUGUCCUUCUGGGCGGUGCACUUGCUCCCCUCCGGGCCAGCAUCGGUUGGGGCGGCGGGAUAAAGAUCCCGGGAAUGUGGCUCCUUUCGGGGAGUGUUAUAGCCCGGGUGAAUGCCGCCAGUUCCGACCGAGGACCGCGCCUUCGGGCUAGGAUGCUUGGCAUAAUGGUCUUCAGCGACCCGUCUUGAACCCACGGGACCA
rnacentral:rRNA from 1 species